UACGUAGGGUGCGAGCGUUAAUCGGAAUUACUGGGCGUAAGCGUGCGCAGGCGGUGAUGUAAGACCGAUGUGAAAUCCCCGGGCUUAACCUGGGAACUGCAUUGGUGACUGCAUUGCUGGAGUAUGGCAGAGGGGGGUGGAAUUCCACGUGUAGCAGUGAAAUGCGUAGAGAUGUGGAGGAACACCGAUGGCGAAGGCAGCCCCCUGGGCCAAUACUGACGCUCAUGCACGAAAGCGUGGGGAGCAAACAGGAUAGAA
rnacentral:rRNA from 1 species